rnacentral:lncRNA from 1 species
CACGUCUGUACCAGAAAGGGACUCCUGUGUCUUGGGCUACAAAUAUCUCAGAAAUGAUAUAAUGAUGGAAUGCUCACAUAUGUUCAUCAGUCUGGAGUCUGAAAACGAUUCUACUUUUUUAAAAGAUAAAAGGGCCAUGAAGAUUUCUAACAAGGUCCCUUCACUCUUCGAUCUCCCAUCAGUGCCCCGUCAGUGGAUGGAUUCAGAGCGUGGAAAGCAGCAUGGAGCCCCAGGACUCCGGUCUCCAGAUUACACCUGUUGGACAGGAAUCACCCCUGGCAACAAAGAUCUCCUUGUCUAGUACUGU